AUUGGGCCCGAGUUUGAUCCUGGCUCAGAGCGAACGCUGGCGGCAGGCCUAACACAUGCAAGUCGAGCGCGUGUAGCAAUACACGAGCGGCAGACGGGAGAGUAACACGUGGGAACGCGCCCUUCGGUUCGGAAUAACUCAGGGAAACUUGAGCUAAUACCGGAUACGCCCUUACGGGGAAAGAUUUAUUGCCGAAGGAACGGCCCGCGUCCGAUUAGCUAGUUGGUGAGGUAACGGCUCACCAAGGCGACGAUCGUUAGCUGGUCUGAGAGGACGAUCAGCCACACUGGGACUGAGACACGGCCCAGACUCCUACGGGAGGCAGCAGUGGGGAAUAUUGGACAAUGGGGGCAACCCUGAUCCAGCCAUGCCGCGUGAGUGAUGAAGGCCUUCGGGUUGUAAAGCUCUUUUGGCGGGGACGAUGAUGACGGUACCCGCAGAAUAAGCCCCGGCUAACUUCGUGCCAGCAGCCGCGGUAAUCCCUGUGUGAA
rnacentral:rRNA from 1 species